AUUGAACGCUGGCGGCAGGCUUGACACAUGCAAGUCGAGCGGGGUGAUGGUGCUUGCACUAUCACUUAGCGGCGGACGGGUGAGUAAUGCUUAGGAAUCUGCCUAUUAGUGGGGGACAACAUUUCGAAAGGAAUGCUAAUACCGCAUACGUCCUACGGGAGAAAGCAGGGGAUCUUCGGAACUUGCGCUAAUAGAUGAGCCUAAGUCGGAUUAGCUAGUUGGUGGGGUAAAGGCCUACCAAGGCGACGAUCUGUAGCGGGUCUGAGAGGAUGAUCCGCCACACUGGGACUGAGACACGGCCCAGACUCCUACGGGAGGCAGCAGUGGGGAAUAUUGGACAAUGGGCGGAAGCCUGAUCCAGCCAUGCCGCGUGUGUGAAGAAGGCCUUAUGGUUGUAAGGCACUUUAAGCGAGGAGGAGGCUACUUUAGUUAAUACCUAGAGAUAGUGGACGUUACUCGCAGAAUAAGCACCGGCUAACUCUGUGCCAGCAGCCGCCGUAAAAC
rnacentral:rRNA from 1 species